UAGAGGGAUGGAGGUGAAGGUAAAGGGAUGGAGGUGAAGGGAUAAAGGUAGAGGGAUGGAGGUGAAGGUAGAGGGAUGGAGGUGAAGGUAGAGGGAUGGAGGUGAAGGUGGAGGGAUGGAGGUGAAGGUAGAGGGAUGGAGGUGAAGGGAUGAAGGUAGAGGGAUGGAGGUGAAGGUAGAGGGAUGGAGGUGAAGGGAUGAAGGUGAAGAUGGAGGAAUGAAAGUGAAGGGAUGGAGGUGAAGGUAGAGGGAUGGAGGUGAAGGGAUGAAGGUAGAGGGAUGGAGGUGAAUGGAUGAGGGUAGAGGGAUGGAGGUGAAGGUGGAGGAAUGGAGGUGAAGGUGGAGCAAUGGAGGUGAAGGUGGAGGGAUGGAGGUGAAGGUAGAGGGAUGGAGGUGAAGGUAGAGGGAUGGAGGUGAAGGGAUGAAGGUAGAGGGAUGGAGGUGAAUGGAUGAGGGUAGAGGGAUGGA
ensembl:lncRNA